rnacentral:rRNA from 1 species
CCUACGGGAGGCAGCAGUCGAGAAUCAUUCACAAUGGGGGAAACCCUUAUGGUGCGACGCCGCGUGGGGGAAUGAAGGUCUUCGGAUUGUAAACCCCUGUCAUGUGGGAGCAAAUUAAAAAGAUAGUACCACACGAGGAAGAGACGGCUAACUCUGUGCCAGCAGCCGCGGUAAUACAGAGGUCUCAAGCGUUGUUCGGAAUCACUGGGCGUAAAGCGUGCGUAGGCUGUUUCGUAAGUCGUGUGUGAAAGGCGCGGGCUCAACCCGCGGACGGCACAUGAUACUGCGAGACUAGAGUAAUGGAGGGGGAACCGGAAUUCUCGGUGUAGCAGUGAAAUGCGUAGAUAUCGAGAGGAACACUCGUGGCGAAGGCGGGUUCCUGGACAUUAACUGACGCUGAGGCACGAAGGCCAGGGGAGCGAAAGGGAUUAGAUACCCUUGUAGUC